GCGAACGCUGGCGGCAGGCCUAACACAUGCAAGUCGAACGGAUCCUUCGGGAUUAGUGGCGGACGGGUGAGUAACACGUGGGAACGUGCCUUUUGGUUCGGAAUAGCUCCUGGAAACGGGUGGUAAUGCCGAAUGUGCCCUUCGGGGGAAAGAUUUAUCGCCAUUAGAGCGGCCCGCGUCUGAUUAGCUAGUUGGUGAGGUAAAGGCUCACCAAGGCUACGAUCAGUAGCUGGUCUGAGAGGAUGACCAGCCACAUUGGGACUGGGACACGGCCCAAACUCCUACGGGAGGCAGCAGUGGGGAAUCUUGGACAAUGGGCGCAAGCCUGAUCCAGCCAUGCCGCGUGAGUGAUGAAGGUCUUAGGAUUGUAAAGCUCUUUCACCGGAGAAGAUAAUGACGGUAUCCGGAGAAGAAGCCCCGGCUAACUUCGU
rnacentral:rRNA from 1 species